GAUGAACGCUGGCGGCGUGCCUAAUACAUGCAAGUCGAGCGAACAGACGAGGAGCUUGCUCCUUUGACGUUAGCGGCGGACGGGUGAGUAACACGUAGGUAACCUACCUAUAAGACUGGGAUAACUUCGGGAAACCGGAGCUAAUACCGGAUAAUAUUUCGAACCGCAUGGUUCGAUAGUGAAAGAUGGCUUUGCUAUCACUUAUAGAUGGACCUGCGCCGUAUUAGCUAGUUGGUAAGGUAACGGCUUACCAAGGCAACGAUACGUAGCCGACCUGAGAGGGUGAUCGGCCACACUGGAACUGAGACACGGUCCAGACUCCUACGGGAGGCAGCAGUAGGGAAUCUUCCGCAACGGGCGAAAGCCUGACGGAGCAACGCCGCGUGAGUGAUGAAGGUCUUCGGAUCGUAAAACUCUGUUAUUAGGGAAGAACAAACGUGUAAGUAACUGUGCACGUCCUGACGGUACCUAAUCAGAAAGCCACGGCUAACUACGUG
rnacentral:rRNA from 1 species